UAUAAAGUCUGACCUGCCCAAUGAAAAUUUAAAUGGCCGCGGUAUUUUGACCGUGCAAAGGUAGCAUAAUAAUUAGUUUUUUAAUUGAAAGCUGGAAUGAAUGGUUGGACGAGAAAAUAACUGUCUCAUAUUAAUUUAAUUAGAAUUUUAUUUUUAAGUAAAAAAGCUUAAAUAUUUUUAAAAGACGAGAAGACCCUAUAGAGCUUUAUAUAUUUGUAAUUAAAUUUAAUGUAGAAUUUUAGUAUUUUUAUUUUUAAAUGUAUUUUAUUGGGGUGAUAAAAAAAUUAAUAAAACUUUUUUUUUAUAAUAACAUUGAUUUAUGAAUAAUUGAUCCAUUUUUUAUGAUUAAAAGAUUAAGUUACCUUAGGGAUAACAGCGUAAUUUUUUUUUAGAGUUCUUAUCGAAAAGAGAGAUUGCGACCUCGAUGUUGGAUUAAAAUUAAUGUUUGGUGUAGAGGCUAGACAAUUAGGUCUGUUCGACCUUUAAAAUUUUACA
rnacentral:rRNA from 1 species